GUAGUCUGCAACCCGACUACAUGAAGCCGGAAUCGCUAGUAAUCGCGGAUCAGAAUGCCGCGGUGAAUACGUUCCCGGGUCUUGUACACACCGCCCGUCACACCAUGGGAGUUGGAAAUGCCCGAAGUCGGUGGCCCAACCGGAAGGGGGGAGCUGCCGAAGGCAGGUUCGAUGACUGGGGUGAAGUCGUAACAAGGUAGC
rnacentral:rRNA from 1 species